rnacentral:lncRNA from 10 species
UGUGUCCAGCCUGCUUGGUUCCCAACUUUGCUGGAUCCAUUCUAUCUGUGGACGGAGCCACUAUCUCUGAAAGGAGAGAUCUCAUCCGCUGUCCACUGGGGAAUGGCCUUGCCCUAUGGCCCCUACCAAACAAAAACGUAGCAGAACACAGCAAAACAGCAGAGUCGGAAUGUGAAGUGCUGAUAGAGUUCCCUAACGCUGACUGUCUGCUCUGCAUUUCUGGAGAUUGUAUGCCUGUCAUCCUGCAUUCCUUGGUAGGCUACCUAUUGGAUAACCCCAUAAACUCUGGCCCACUAAUCGUCAAUGGGGAUAGUGCUGCCCCCUAGAGGCACUUUAGAAACGUGUGGUGUUUGUUACAUUGGUUGGGGGCACUACUGAGGUGGAGUCAGAGGGCAGCCAGACUCCCUGCCCUAGGCAAGGCAGUCUUGUAUGAUGAAGAUUUCUCCCGCACGUCUCCUGACAUUUGAAUGCCCCACCAGAUACUCAUGUAGGUAGAAAACCUCUUCAUAUUGGUCUGAGCCUAGAACCUAAUUCUAAUUUGU